rnacentral:tRNA from 1 species
GCGGUCGUGGCGAAAUUGGUAGACGCGCAGCCUUGAGGUGGCUGUGCCGAGAGGCAUGAGAGUUCGAGUCUCUCCGACCGCACCA